GUGAACGCUGGCGGUAGGCCUAACACAUGCAAGUCGAACGGCAGCACAGUAAGAGCUUGCUCUUACGGGUGGCGAGUGGCGGACGGGUGAGGAAUACAUCGGAAUCUACUUUUUCGUGGGGGAUAACGUAGGGAAACUUACGCUAAUACCGCAUACGACCUACGGGUGAAAGCAGGGGAUCUUCGGACCUUGGGCGAUUGAAUGAGCCGAUGUCGGAUUAGCUAGUUGGCGGGGUAAAGGCCCACCAAGGCGACGAUCCGUAGCUGGUCUGAGAGGAUGAUCAGCCACACUGGAACUGAGACACGGUCCAGACUCCUACGGGAGGCAGCAGUGGGGAAUAUUGGACAAUGGGCGCAAGCCUGAUCCAGCCAUACCGCGUGGGUGAAGAAGGCCUUCGGGUUGUAAAGCCCUUUUGUUGGGAAAGAAAAGCAGCAGGUUAAUACCCCGCUGUUCUGACGGUACCCAAAGAAUAAGCACCGGCUAACUUCGUG
rnacentral:rRNA from 1 species